AUUGAACGCUGGCGGCAUGCCUUACACAUGCAAGUCGAACGGCAGCACGGGAGUAAUCCUGGUGGCGAGUGGCGAACGGGUGAGUAAAGCAUCGGAACGUGCCCAGUCGUGGGGGAUAACGUAGCGAAAGCUACGCUAAUACCGCAUACGAUCUGUGGAUGAAAGCGGGGGACCGUAAGGCCUCGCGCGAUUGGAGCGGCCGAUGUCAGAUUAGGUAGUUGGUGAGGUAAAGGCUCACCAAGCCGACGAUCUGUAGCUGGUCUGAGAGGACGACCAGCCACACUGGGACUGAGACACGGCCCAGACUCCUACGGGAGGCAGCAGUGGGGAAUUUUGGACAAAGGGCGCAAGCCUGAUCCAGCAAUGCCGCGUGCAGGAUGAAGGCCUUCGGGUUGUAAACUGCUUUUGUACGGAGCGAAAAGGCUUCCACUAAUACUGGGGGCUCAUGACGGUACCGUAAGAAUAAGCACCGGCUAACUACGUG
rnacentral:rRNA from 1 species